rnacentral:tRNA from 1 species
GGGGGCGUAGCUCAGGCAGGUGAGAGCGGCGGUCUUAUAAACCGCAAGUCGCGGGUUCAAGUCCCGCCGCCCCUACCA